ensembl:lncRNA
UGAUUCUAUAAACUUCCCUAAAUGUCUUCAUCAACCAUGUGAAUUACCUGUUUCUGGAGGUUGAUUUCUACUUUUUUAGUUUUCUUACUCAUGUGGUCGGUUUUUCAGUUUUGAUCUCAUUCUAAAAUAGAUACAUGGUAACUGGUCAGAUAUAUUUUUAUAUAGCACAGGAUUCUUGACAGACAUGUCAAACUGAACUGAUAUUUUGCCCAUUUUAAGUGCCUACAGACAUAGUGAAAUGGCCCUGUUCAUCUUCAUAAUAUUUUAUCUUUUACUGGUGGUUAAAUUGCAAGGUUUGGCCACCAUGUCGUCUUUGCCACCAAUCACAGAGGGCAGCCCAACAGUGAUUCCCAAUGGAACCUUACAAGUGAAUUUGUCCACUGCAUCAACAAUGAACACAACAUUUUUGGGUGUAACAUCCACUACUGAGUCUGAAAUCACAACAGACCUGAUAACCAAUAUGUCAAGUCUAAGUUCCCAAGACAACCAUAGUUUAAAAGAUCCUGCAAACGCAUCCUUAGAAUCGACUACACUUACUGAUAAUACAGAACGUGCUUCAGUUUUCCCCUUGAUGACUAAAGGCCCUGAAAUCAGAAAGUACUCAAAUACAAAAAUGUUCUUCCUCAUUGCUGUGGUUGCAUCUGGUGGAGGAAUUGUACUGACUGGACUCGUGGGCACCUGUUUGUACAGACGUACACGAAAGUCAAAGGCAGAGAGAACAGAUUUGGGGAAAUUUAGCAUUAGAUCAGCCAAUCUUGCCAGUGGAUCCUCUGCAGUAAAUGGGUGCCAUCAGAAUCAGAGUUCAAACAGUUGAUAAAAACAUCAGAAUAAUCCACAAAUAAUCCACAUGACUCCAGUUCAACAUCUUGUGAAGUUAACAUCGCAUAUUUGUAAGGAACAAAUCCAUCACUGAGGUGAUUUAACUUUAAACCAUUGCUUCUGGCCAAAAUAUGAGACUAUAAUCUAUAAUAAUAAUUCAUAACACUUCCUCCUGUGAAAAAGUACUUCCACUGUUUUCCUCUCACAUCAAAAUCCACCCACAUAUAUGCUUAGGACUGUUUUUGCUUGUAAACAGAGUUUGAUUUGUGCAUAUCUCUCUCAUGAUUCUAGAUGACUAGAUGACAUUUUCACUGCAGAAAAAUCAAUAUCAUAGAGGACAUAUAGUGUAUUUUUGCAAGAAGCACUGGUUUGAAGUUAAAAAUGUCUUAAUUAUGGAUUUGUUUAUUACAAACAUCUUUUCACUUCACAAUAUGAAUAGACUGGAGUCGUGUGGAUUAUUGUGAUGUUUUUAUCAGCUGUUUGGACUCUCAUUCUGACGGCACCCAUUCACUGCAGAGGAUCCAUUGGUGAGCAAGUGAUGGAAUGCUAAAUGUCCCCAAAUCUGUUCCAACGAAGAAACAAACUCAUCUACAACUUGAAUGGACUGAGCGAUUUGGAUCGAAUCGAGCAGCAAAAAACACAAACAGGGACAUUCUUUACCAGUGGCCAGUUCAGACUCAUCUGGAGAGGAAGAUACAGUGCUUUACUCAACCAUCAACUUCAUUCAACCCCCCUCUCAACCACCAGGAAACAAUGAAGAAUCAAUUCAAAAUGAGGUUGAACUGAAUCAUUUGUAUUACACCGUCAUAACCAAACCGGCAAUCUCCAGUGACAGCAGGAGUGUUUACAGUCAGCUGAAGGUCCGCUGAAAGAAUACAACUCUGCGUGCUGCUGUUUUAAUGCAGGCCAAAAUUGAUGCAUCUUAAUUUUAAACAUGCUUUAAUCCUCCAUAGCAAUGCCUUUUAUUGUAAAUGUUAAACUUCUGCUUUCUAAUUUCAAUGUUGUAACACCUUUCAAAACUGUGUCAUAAACUUUCUUUCUGAUUUCGGUUUACUUGUAUUUUCUGUAGAUUCACAUGAACAGAAUAACCACAUCAGAAGGCACAGCAUGAAUAUGCAUACUUUUAAGCAAUAAUAAUUGUUAUUGUGAAUGGCAGUUGUAUAGAUCAACAUAAGGACAGUCAUAUUUCCUCCUGUUACUUGUGUGAAUAUUUUCACCUGAUGUUUAUUAUUUAAAGCACCUCAUUUUUAUGUUUCUCUUUUUGUUCCUUUUGUACUUUUCCGCUGUUCCUCAAAGUUAUGUCUAAAAUCUCUUUGAAGACUGGAGUAAUGGCUGCUGAAAAUCCCACUUUGUCAUCACAGGAAUAAAAUAUAUUCAAAUAGAAAACUGUUAUUUUGAAUUGGUAUAAUAUAUUCACAGUGUUACUGUUUUUACUGUAUUUGUGAUCAAAUAAAUGCAGCUUUAGUAAACAAGAGAGACUUCUCUCAAAAACAUUUAAAAAAUGUUACCAAGCCCAAUCGUUUGAAUGGUGUACAUGAAGAAGUUUUUUUUUUUUUUUUUAAUGAAAACCAGACACCGGAGAAACCUACAGCAAUACAGGUAUCCGAUUACUGUGAAUAUGCGUCAGAUGACAGCACACUCUCCUGUCUAAAACAUGGACUUACAGUUAUAUAUGUG